rnacentral:rRNA from 1 species
UACGGGGGGGGGCAAGCGUUGUUCGGAAUUACUGGGCGUAAAGGGCUCGUAGGUGGCCAACUAAGUCAUACGUGAAAUCCCUCGGCUUAACCGGGGGAACUGCGUCUGAUACUGGAUGGCUUGAGGUUGGGAGAGGGAUGCGGAAUUCCAGGUGUAGCGGUGAAAUGCGUAGAUAUCUGGAGGAACACCGGUGGCGAAGGCGGCAUCCUGGACCAAUUCUGACACUGAGGAGCGAAAGCCAGGGGAGCAAAGCGGG